GACGAACGCUGGCGGCGUGCUUAACACAUGCAAGUCGAGCGGUAAGGCCCUUUCGGGGUACGACGAGCGGCGAACGGGUAGGAGUAACACGUGGGUGGACCUGCCCUCCAGCUCUGGGAGUAAGCCUGGGAAACCGGGUACUAAUACUGGAUAUGACUCCAUGACGCAUGUUGUGGGGUGGAAAGCCUUGUGCGGCUGAGGAUGGGCCCGCGGCCUAUCAGCUUGUUGGUGGGGUGAUGGCCUACCAAGGCGACGACGGGUAGCCGGCCUGAGAGGGCGACCGGCCACACUGGGACUGAGACACGGCCCAGACUCCUACGGGA
rnacentral:rRNA from 1 species